rnacentral:rRNA from 1 species
GAUGAACGCUGGCGGCGUGCCUAAUACAUGCAAGUCGAGCGAACAGACUAGGAGCUUGCUCCUCUGACGUUAGCGGCGGACGGGUGAGUAACACGUGGAUAACCUACCUAUAAGACUGGGAUACAUUCGGGAAACCGGAGCUAAUACCAGAGAUUAUAUUACACCGUAAGGUUCAAUACUGAAAGACGGUUUUGCUGUCGCUUAUAGAUGGAUCCGCGCCGCAUUAGCUAGUUGGUAAGGUAACGGCUUACCAAGGCAACGAUGCGUAGCCGACCUGAGAGGGUGAUCGGCCACACUGGAACUGAGACACGGCCCAGACUCCUACGGGAGGCAGCAGUAGGGAAUCUUCCGCAAUGGGCGAAAGCCUGAUGGAGCAACGCCGCGUGAGUGAUGAAGGUCUUCGGAUCGUAAAACUCUGUUAUUAGGGAAGAACAAAUGUGUAAGUAACUAUGCACGUCUUGACGGUACCUAAUCAGAAAGCCACGGCUAACUACGUG